AACGAACGCUGGCGGCAGGCCUAACACAUGCAAGUCGAGCGGACCCUUCGGGGUUAGCGGCGGACGGGUUAGUAACGCGUGGAAAUAUGCCCAAAGGUACGGAAUAGCCUCGGGAAACUGAGAGUAAUACCGUAUGUGCCCUUCGGGGAAAGAUUUAUCGCCUUUGGAUUAGCCCGCGUUGGAUUAGGUAGUUGGUGGGGUAAUGGCCUACCAAGCCGACGAUCCAUAGCUGGUUUGAGAGGAUGAUCAGCAACACUGGGACUGAGACACGGCCCAGACUCCUACGGGAGGCAGCAGUGGGGAAUCUUAGACAAUGGGGGAAACCCUGAUCUAGCCAUGCCGCGUGAGCGAUGAAGGCCUUAGGGUUGUAAAGCACUUUGUUGGGAAGAAACCGGCCGGGUUAAUACCUGGUUGAAUGACGGUACCCAAAGAAUAAGCACCGGCUAACUUCGUGCCAGCAGCCGCGGUAAUGUCGAU
rnacentral:rRNA from 1 species